rnacentral:rRNA from 1 species
UCCUACGGGGCGCAGCAGUGGGGGAUAUUGCACAAUGGGGGCAACCCUGAUGCAGCGACGCCGCGUGAGCGAUGGAGUACUUCGGUAUGUAAAGCUCUGUCAGCAGGGAAGAGAAUGACGGUACCUGACUAAGAAGCCCCGGCUAACUACGUGCCAGCAGCCGCGGUAAUACGUAGGGGGCGAGCGUUAUCCGGAUUCACUGGGUGUAAAGGGAGCGUAGACGGCCAAGCAAGCCAGGGGUGAAAGCCCGGUGCCCAACCCCGGGACUGCCCUUGGAACUGCUUGGCUGGA